rnacentral:rRNA from 1 species
AUUGAACGCUGGCGGCAUGCUUUACACAUGCAAGUCGAACGGUAACAGGCCUUCGGGUGCUGACGAGUGGCGAACGGGUGAGUAAUGCAUCGGAACGUACCCAGAGGUGGGGGAUAACGCAGCGAAAGCUGUGCUAAUACCGCAUGUGAUCUGAGGAUGAAAGCGGGGGACCGAGCAGCAAUGUUUGGCCUCGCGCCUUUGGAGCGGCCGAUGUCGGAUUAGCUAGUUGGUGGGGUAAAGGCCUACCAAGGCGACGAUCCGUAGCUGGUCUGAGAGGACGACCAGCAACACUGGGACUGAGACACGGCCCAGACUCCUACGGGAGGCAGCAGUGGGGAAUUUUGGACAAUGGGCGCAAGCCUGAUCCAGCAAUGCCGCGUGCGGGAAGAAGGCCUGCGGGUUGUAAACCGCUUUUGGCAGGAACGAAACGGUGUCCGCUAAUACCGGGCGCUAAUGACGGUACCUGCAGAAUAAGCACCGGCUAACUAC